rnacentral:rRNA from 1 species
GACAGAGGGUGCAAGCGUUGUUCGGAAUUAUUGGGCGUAAAGGGCGCGUAGGCGGUCCAGAAAGUCAGAUGUGAAAGCCCCGGGCUCAACCCUGGAAGUGCAUCUGAUACUACUGGUCUUGAGUACUGGAGAGGGUGGUGGAAUUCCCAGUGUAGAGGUGAAAUUCGUAGAUAUUGGGAGGAACACCCGUGGCGAAGGCGACCACCUGGACAGAUACUGACGCUGAGGCGCGAAAGCGUGGGGAGCAAACAGG